rnacentral:rRNA from 1 species
AAAGGUAACGCCUGCCCAGUGACUUUAUGUUUAACGGCCGCGGUACUCUGACCGUGCAAAGGUAGCGUAAUCACUUGUCUUUUAAAUAAGGACUAGUAUGAAUGGCAUCACGAGGACUUAGCUGUCUCCCUAAUCUAAUCAGUGAAACUGAUCUCCCUGUGAAAAAGCAGGGAUUUUUUCAUAAGACGAGAAGACCCUAUGGAGCUUUAAACCAAAAACUACCCGUUUAAUCUACUAUACUAAAGAUAGUACUAAAACAACUGAUCUAGUUUAGGUUUUCAGUUGGGGUGACUGUGGAGAAAAAUAAAUCCUCCAUGCAGACUUAAGCUUUGAGCAACCGCUCUACGCAUUAGCAAGUCUAACUGCACUUGAUCCAAUCUUUUUGAUCAACGAACCAAGUUACCCUAGGGAUAACAGCGCAAUCCAUUUUAAGAGUCCAUAUCGACAAAUGGGUUUACGACCUCGAUGUUGGAUUAGGACACCCGAGUGGUGCAGCCGCUACUCAAGGUUCGUUUGUUC